GUCGUCUUCCUCAAAAUACGCUUAUCUCUGCAUUCACCUCGGCACCUGCCACACUGUGGGCCGCAGAGGACACCUCCCUCUCUAUUAUUAUGAAUAGACGUGGAUAAACAUCGCCUGAGGCUGCGGUUGGGAUGAAUGAACAACUAUCCCAUCUAAUGUUGAAAAACAUGUUUUUUUGUUGCCUUCUGAUGGUCAAUAAAAUAUUCCAUUUGAAGCAGGAUUACUUGAUUGACUCCACAAACCUGAUGCUCUGUAAGAACCAGUCAAGCUGAACUCACAGAGAUGACAGCAUUGCAAAAAGGAAGUGCAAGACAUUUUUACAUGUAUCACCUGUAAACUGCAUUAAAAAAUCUCAAAAUCGAAA